rnacentral:rRNA from 1 species
UACGUAGGGUGCAAGCGUUAAUCGGAAUUACUGGGCGUAAAGCGUGCGCAGGCGGUUCGCUAAGACCGAUGUGAAAUCCCCGGCUUAACCUGGGAACUGCAUUGGUGACUGGCGGGCUAGAGUAUGGCAGAGGGGGGUAGAAUUCCACGUGUAGCAGUGAAAUGCGUAGAGAUGUGGAGGAAUACCGAUGGCGAAGGCAGCCCCCUGGGCCAAUACUGACGCUCAUGCACGAAAGCGUGGGGAGCAAACAGG